CUGCACCAGGGAUUGAAGUGGAAAUCCUUUUCACAUAAGUGAAAAGAUUGGAGCGGAAAGCCCGGUCGCUU
rnacentral:sRNA from 1 species